GAUGAACGCUGGCGGCGUGCCUAAUACAUGCAAGUCGAGCGAACAGACGAGGAGCUUGCUCCUCUGACGUUAGCGGCAGACGGGUGAGUAACACGUGGAUAACCUACCUAUAAGACUGGGAUAACUUCGGGAAACCGGAGCUAAUACCGGAUAAUCUAUUGAACCGCAUGGUUCAAUAGUGAAAGACGGUUUUGCUGUAACUUAUAGAUGGAUCCGCGCCGCAUUAGCUAGUUGGUAAGGUAACGGCUUACCAAGGCAACGAUGCGUAGCCGACCUGAGAGGGUGAUCGGCCACACUGGAACUGAGACACGGUCCAGACUCCUACGGGAGGCAGCAGUAGGGAAUCUUCCGCAAUGGGCGAAAGCCUGACGGAGCAACGCCGCGUGAGUGAUGAAGGUCUUCGGAUCGUAAAACUCUGUUAUUAGGGAAGAACAAAUGUGUAAGUAACUAUGCACGUCUUGACGGUACCUAAUCAGAAAGCCACGGCUAACUACGUG
rnacentral:rRNA from 1 species